GAUCCUGGCUCAGGAUGAACGCUAGCUACAGGUUUAACACAUGCAAGUCGAGGGGCAGCAUGAACUUAGCUUGCUAAGUUUGAUGGCGACCGGCGCACGGGUGAGUAACGCGUAUCCAACCUGCCCUUUACUCGGGGAUAGCCCUUUUGAAAGGAAGUUUAAUACCCGAUGAAUUCGUUUAGUCGCAUGGCUUGAUGAAGAAAGAUUUAUCAGUAAAGGGUGGGGAUGCGUCCCAUUAGCUUGUUGGCGGGGUAACCGG
rnacentral:rRNA from 1 species